GUUUACUCCUAGAUGACUCAGCCUUAGCCACAUCCGCUUAACCCUCCAAUAGUCCCCAUUCCGCCAGAGCCAGUGUCUCCUCCUCUUUACAGGCCUUUCCUUACCUCCCUCCAUGCUGUCCACUUCCUCUGUAAAGCUCUCAACCCUGUCCCCUUCCCCCUCUCUCCUGGGAAAGAGCCCUCCCAUGCCUAGCUGCUGCUCUUAGGGACCCUGUGGCUAGGUGCGCGGAUGGAAAUCCAGUGCUCCCGGAUUUUGCUCUCCAGCCUCCGGUUCUCGGUCUCCAGGCUCCUCACUCUGUCCAGGUAAGAGGCCAGGCGGUCGUUCAGGCUUUGCAUGGUCUCCUUCUCGUUCUGGAUGCCUCCCAUUCCUGCCAGACCCCCGGCUAUCCCGGUGGCCAGGCCCCCGGACCCCAUGCCGCCCCUGAAGCUGGUGGAGCGGGACACGGAGAUCCGGGAACCAGAGCCCCCAGCGCCUGCAUAGACGCUGGCCGCGCUGCUGACCGGCCGGGCGCCGUAGCUGGGCGCCUGGACAGAGCCCAGGGA
rnacentral:lncRNA from 1 species